rnacentral:rRNA from 1 species
AUACGUAGGGGGCGAGCGUUGUCCGGAAUGAUUGGGCGUAAAGGGCGCGUAGGCGGCGCGGUAAGUCUGGAGUGAAAGUCCUGCUUUCAAGGUGGGAAUUGCUUUGGAUACUGCCGCGCUUGAGUGCAGGAGAGGUUAUCGGAAUUCCCGGUGUGGCGGUGAAAUGCGUAGAGAUCGGGAGGAACACCAGUGGCGAAGGCGGGUAACUGGACUGCAACUGACGCUGAGGCGCGAAAGUGUGGGGAGCAAACAGGAUUAGAUACCCUGGUAGUCCACACUGUAAACGAUGAAUACUAGGUGUAAGAGGUAUCGACCCCUUUUGUGCCGGAGUCAACACAAUAAGCAUUCCGCCUGGGGAGUACGGCCGCAAGGUUGAAACUCAAAUGAAUUGGCGGGG